AGUGAACGCUGGCGGUAGGCCUAACACAUGCAAGUCGAACGGCAGCACAGUAAGAGCUUGCUCUUACGGGUGGCGAGUGGCGGACGGGUGAGGAAUACAUCGGAAUCUACUUUUUCGUGGGGGAUAACGUAGGGAAACUUACGCUAAUACCGCAUACGACCUACGGGUGAAAGCAGGGGAUCUUCGGACCUUGCGCGAUUGAAUGAGCCGAUGUCGGAUUAGCUAGUUGGCGGGGUAAAGGCCCACCAAGGCGACGAUCCGUAGCUGGUCUGAGAGGGUGGUCAGCCACACUGGAACUGAGACACGGUCCAGACUCCUACGGGAGGCAGCAGUGGGGAAUAUUGGACAAUGGGCGCAAGCCUGAUCCAGCCAUACCGCGUGGGUGAAGAAGGCCUUCGGGUUGUAAAGCCCUUUUGUUGGGGAAGAAAAGCAGCAGGUUAAUACCCCGCUGUUCUGACGGUACCCAAAGAAUAAGCACCGGCUAACUUCGUG
rnacentral:rRNA from 1 species